rnacentral:rRNA from 1 species
AUUGAACGCUAGCGGGAUGCCUUACACAUGCAAGUCGAACGGAGUGGCGAACGGGUGAGUAAUGUAUCGGAACGUGCCCCGUAGCGGGGGAUAACUACGCGAAAGCGUAGCUAAUACCGCAUACUAUUGGAGCGGCCGAUAUCGGAUUAGCUAGUUGGUGGGGUAACGGCUCACCAAGGCGACGAUCCGUAGCUGGUUUGAGAGGACGACCAGCCACACUGGGACGGAUACACGGCCCAGAAUACUACGGGAGGAAGCAGUGGGGAAUAAUGGGCGAUGGGGGAAACAAUGAUCCAGCCAUCCCGCGUGUGCGAUGAAGGCGGUCGGGUGGUAAAGCACUUCUGGUAGGAAAGCGGCACCAGCAGAAGAAUAACCGGCUAACUACGUGCCAGCAGCCGCGGUAAUAC